GAUUAACGCUGGCGGCGUGCAUAACACAUGCAAGUCGAACGAUGAAACUUUAAUGAACCCUUCGGGGAGAAUUAAAGCGGAUUAGUGGCGAACGGGUGAGUAACGCGUGAGUAACCUGCCUUACACAAGGGGAUAGCCUUUGGAAACGAAGAAUAAUACCCUAUCAAACCAUAAAAGCACAUGCAAUUAUGGUCAAAGUGAUAGCGGUGUAAGAUGGACUUGCGUCUGAUUAGCUAGUUGGUGAGAUAAAAGCCCACCAAGGCAACGAUCAGUAGCCGGCUUGAGAGAGUGUACGGCCGCAUUGGGACUGGGACACGGCCCAGACUCCUGCGGGAGGCAGCAGUGGGGAAUUUGGGACAAUGGGGGAGACCCUGAUGCAGCGACGCCGCGUGAUUUAGAAGGCCUUCGGGUUGUAAAAAUCUUUUGUAUAGGAAGAAAAUGACAGUACUAUACGAAUAAGGACCGGCUAAUUACGUG
rnacentral:rRNA from 1 species